rnacentral:rRNA from 1 species
GACGAACGCUGGCGGCGUGCUUAACACAUGCAAGUCGAACGGAAAGGCCCUGCUUUUGUGGGGUGCUCGAGUGGCGAACGGGUGAGUAACACGUGAGUAACCUGCCCUUGACUUUGGGAUAACUUCAGGAAACUGGGGCUAAUACCGGAUAGGAGCUCCUGCUGCAUGGUGGGGGUUGGAAAGUUUCGGUGGUUGGGGAUGGACUCGCGGCUUAUCAGCUUGUUGGUGGGGUAGUGGCUUACCAAGGCUUUGACGGGUAGCCGGCCUGAGAGGGUGACCGGCCACAUUGGGACUGAGAUACGGCCCAGACUGCUACGGGAGGCAGCAGUGGGGAAUAUUGCACAAUGGGCGGAAGCCUGAUGCAGCAACGCCGCGUGCGGGAUGACGGACUUCGGGUUGUAAACCGCUUUCGCCUGUGACGAAGCGUGAGUGACGGUAAUGGGUAAAGAAGCACCGGCUAACUACGUG